UGGUAAAAGUUUAGACGAUUACAUUCUGGUUCAAUCAUCUUCCGAUAUCAACUCGAGCUGACACAAAGUUUAAAUAUUUACUUUCCUAAAGUGCGAUUUGCAUCGGAUAACAGGCGCAAUGGACAGCCCAUGUUGGGCCGGAGCAGGUUUAUGCUAUGUUUUGGCGUGCGAAUCGGCUGUCUUACCUGCAGGGAUGAAGGGAUUGUAAAGGACUGCAGGGGCUGCCUGGACUGCAUGGACUCAGGAUGAUGGGGCUCUGGCUGGGUGACAAACUGAAAAGCAAGACACGUUUACAUGCAUUAGCGCUCUGACUAAGUGCAUGUGGACUGUUUUUUUGUUGGUGUUUCUUCAUGCUCUCAGCAGCACUGCAAAUUAAAGUGCUUUAAGGAUUC